UAGGGAAUCUUCCGCAAUGGGCGAAAGCCUGACGGAGCAACGCCGCGUGAGUGAUGAAGGUCUUCGGAUCGUAAAACUCUGUUAUUAGGGAAGAACAAAUGUGUAAGUAACUAUGCACGUCUUGACGGUACCUAAUCAGAAAGCCACGGCUAACUACGUGCCAGCAGCCGCGGUAAUACGUAGGUGGCAAGCGUUAUCCGGAAUUAUUGGGCGUAAAGCGCGCGUAGGCGGUUUUUUAAGUCUGAUGUGAAAGCCCACGGCUCAACCGUGGAGGGUCAUUGGAAACUGGAAAACUUGAGUGCAGAAGAUGAAAGUGGAAUUCCAUGUGUAGCGGUGAAAUGCGCAGAGAUAUAGAGGAACACCAGUGGCGAAGGCGACUUUCUGGUCUGUAACUGACGCUGAUGUGCGAAAGCGUGGAGAUCAAACAGG
rnacentral:rRNA from 1 species